rnacentral:rRNA from 1 species
AACGAACGCUGGCGGCAUGCCUAACACAUGCAAGUCGAACGAGACCUUCGGGUCUAGUGACGCACGGGUGCGUAACGCGUGGGAACCUGCCCUUAGGUUCGGAAUAACUCCCCGAAAGGGGUGCUAAUACCGGAUAAUGUCUUCGGACCAAAGAUUUAUCGCCUUUGGAUGGGCCCGCGUUGGAUUAGCUAGUUGGUAGGGUAAAAGCCUACCAAGGCGACGAUCCAUAGCUGGUCUGAGAGGAUGAUCAGCCACACUGGGACUGAGACACGGCCCAGACUCCUACGGGAGGCAGCAGUGGGGAAUAUUGGACAAUGGGCGAAAGCCUGAUCCAGCAAUGCCGCGUGAGUGAUGAAGGCCUUAGGGUUGUAAAGCUCUUUUACCCGGGGUGAUAAUGACAGUACCGGGAGAAUAAGCUCCGGCUAACUCCGUG